CAUUGUUUAAAUAAAUUAAAUUAUGAUAUCUCCAUACACCAAACACCAGCCGAGAAGGAAUUAGCUUGGGGACACAUGGAGCCAACCUUGAGCCAAUCAUGUGCGUCAAUUAUAGAGAAGAAAGUUCAAUCAUUGAAUUCAAUGUGGUGCCAAAGGUUUCUAGAGAAUGUAUAGUCCUGAACACAAUGAAGGAAAGUCGUUUCCUGGAGGCCACAUCGAGUAAAAAUAGAGGAAGUGUCCAACUUCCGAUGAUUGAGUAAGGAUAAAGCAAGAACCGAAUUAUGUUAGGCUAACCGUAAGAAAAAUAUGAUAUUCGCAUGUAACUAUUUUACUUUAAAUAAAAUGCAGAAAGUCAAAAGUUUAUAAAUAAAAAGAAGAUCUUCGAAUGUAACUACUCUACUUUAUUUUAUGUGCGCAACAAAUUUGAAUUGUGUUAAAUUGUUUUUGUAAUAAAAAUAAAUUUAAAUGUAUAUUGGUCUUCAUAUUUUCAUAAAAGUAAAAUUUAG
rnacentral:lncRNA from 1 species